rnacentral:rRNA from 1 species
CACGUAGGGAGCAAGCGUUAUCCGGAUUUACUGGGUUUAAAGGGUGCGUAGGCGGGCCAUUAAGUCAGUGGUGAAAGCUCCGAGCUUAACUCGGAAACUGCCAUUGAUACUAUUGGUCUUGAAUUCGGUCGAGGUUGGCGGAAUGUGUCGUGUAGCGGUGAAAUGCUUAGAUAUGACACAGAACACCGAUUGCGAAGGCAGCUAGCUAGACCGACAUUGACGCUGAGGCACGAAAGCGUGGGGAUCAAACAGG